AUGGCUAGGACUGAAUUCAUUUACCAUUUGUCACUUGCAUAUAUUGUUAUUUUGUGUUCUGUUAUGUUUUAGUCAAUCAUAAUGCUUUAAUGUAAACACAGCACAUGUAACCUUGGCUCUGCAUACUAUCUCUGUUUGUGGUAGCAUUGGUUACAUUCAGUACAUCUGUGUUCCUAAAGCUAAAUGUCACUUAAUCAUUAGUCGAUUUGAAUCUUUCAUUUGUUUAUGUAGUUUGGUUAUAUUUACCACUGUGUGUUCCUUUGUGCAGGUCCUAUAUGUGAAACAGGGGCUCGGCUGUGAUUGGUGGACCUAAGGAACGACCUGAUGUAACUGGUUCCUGCUGUGGACAUGAACUAUAAAAGGGCGACUGAAAAGCUGCGGUGCGGGGGGUGUGGCAGACUUCCCGUGCACUUGCCUCAGGUCCAGACGGAGCGGCCGUAGCUAUUUGGUUAAAAGAACGCACAUGAGCUGUACCACAAGAACAUCAACUGCAUGC
ensembl:lncRNA